AAAAAAAAUCUGAUUAUAGAUAUUAAUUUGAUGAGAUACGAAUUGGUUAUCUAUAAUAUAAAUAUCUUGUGAAGUCAGAAAGGAAGAUGUUCAUUGAGGAAACUAAUUAUGGAGUUUACCUUUCACAUGGCAGGACCAGCCAUUUGUACAAGAAACUUCUUUCCUUGAAUGCUUGACACAAUGCUGUCCAAACUCGACAGGCAGGUUACAAAGAAGAGUGACUGCUGAAGUUGCCAAUGGAAAGGGUGAUCCUUCAAGUUCCUUCUUCAUAAAAAAAUGUGCCAUAUGUCCUGGGCAUAUAGGCUGAAGAUGGAUGCCUUAAGAGUACAGAGUAAUCUUAGACCUUAUCCAAUGGCUGAUGGAAGCAGAGGCAGACAACCACAGAUAUACACUGAACUGAACUCUUGAACUUAGUUUCAGAGAUGGAGCAAUGAAGAUCAAAUGGGCA
rnacentral:lncRNA from 1 species